CCAGGGCCAUUCAGAUCCCAAGCAUCAGGAAAUCAUUUUGUACAACCACCCGAAGCAGAGAUAUUUUUUAAGAAGCGUAAAUUAUUUUCAGUUGUUUUCUGAUCCUGCCUUUUUCUUUUCCCCACAACUUCACGCCAGUGAGUCGUUCACAUCAGGUAAAUCUUGAGAAAGCCUUGGUGCCCUCCUCCCCACCCCCCACUCAGUAACCACGUGCGUGCACCCCCGCAUCCUUUCUCAGUAGUUAAGACGUUCUAGGCAAUACCAUAGACACAUCUGACUGUGUCUCUCUCUUUGAGUGCAAGAAACUCAAGUCAUCUUAAAAAAAAAAAAAUACAAAAAAAAUUUACAAAAAAACAAACACAAAAAAAAUAUCUUUUUUAGGCCAGAGUUUUCUACAGGUAUUAAUGAAUAUUUUUCUUAAUCCUUAUAAGUUUUAUGUGUUUAAUAUUUCUUAAUACCGGUAGCAUUAAUUUAUACUUUUGUAGCAACACAAUAUUUUUAUAAACAGCCGGUGCUUGGCUCAAGUCUUCACGAGGGGUUUAGGCAGGGCCAUCUUGGGGACCCUGUGUACCAUGUACUGUAUUUAAAAAAAAAAAAAGUUACCUAUUGUCACACUUGCUGUGUUAAUUAACAAAAGAUGUUGUGUGCGGUCUCCUGUAUCGGUGUGGAUCCAACAGCUCUCCAGGGAGUCACAUUGCAUGGGGGUUGAGUUGACGGUUCUUGUGAUAUGUAAACCCCCGAGACCAAACUUGAGGGUUUAUUUAGGGUUUUCUGUUUGUCCUUUGGGUUUUUGUUUCACUUUGUUUUGGUGCCGUUUCUCCAUUUACAGCCAAAUCAGUUUCAUGAUGUUCAAAACAUUUACUGAUGUCAAAUGGAGGAAAGGAACAGAAAAAAAGAUUUUUACAAAGUAAUAAAAUUUAAAACUGAGCUGUUUAAUGUUGCUGUUUUUACCUGUCUGUUCUUGUCCAAAAGUGGAACAUUCCCAGGGAGAAGAGGAAGGUUCCACUCGGUUCUUUAAGUCGCCAAAAGCCCCAGCCCGGGAUUCAGUACCUCCCCUGCCCCCCGAAUUCUUGCAGCACUAUUUCCCAGUUGGUUGAUGCCAAGGCAAAAAGAUAACUUUUAACAGUUAGAGAGGAUCAGUUGCUUAAAUGAUUUCAUGUCAGUGUUGUAUUUAUGGUUUUACAAUAAAACAACCUUUAGGAAGA
rnacentral:lncRNA from 10 species